UUAAAAAAAUUGAAAUUUUUUUAAUCAGUUUUUUUACUGUAAAAAACACAAAUUUUCAUUUUUAAGUCUCUGCACGUCUUAAAUGGAAGCUUUUGCAAUUACCUUUAAAAUACCUUGCGGUUUUUUGUGAUACGAUGAUUUCCGACCGAGAUACAAAACUUUCAAGUUUGCCUAAUUUUGAGUUACGUACUGUGUCAUGGUUAUAAAUGUUCUUUGUUCUGCAACCGGCUUCUUCCUUUGUCUGACGGUCUCAACAUUUACAGAUGUACUAUAAUCAAAGCAACAUACAACUAAUUAUUAAUAGGAGGGAUUAAUACGAAGGAGUAAAUAAUCGAAGCAAUACAACUAAUUAUAGUGUCUCAACAACCAACGUUUUAAUAAGGAUUGAAAAUAAGCAUCUGGCAGAGAAGAUGUACAGCUUCAUGAGUGGCAUUAUUCCCAAGAGUAUACAAAAUAUUAAGAGAUGAUGGUUUAGAAAUGCACCUGAGCAUGUGAGACUUAGCACCUUCACAAGCAUGCCUCAUAUCAUAGAAAAGAACAGAUACAGAAAUAUCAAAAGUAUGGCACACAUUAAAGAUAGAAGAGAUUUCAUAUUUCUUCCUUCUACUUAAUAAUAUAUCCAUGCUAUGAAAACAGUAGCUCAGAUCAUCCAUAUAAGUCCUUUAGACUCAAAAUAUUAAAUUAUGAAGAAAAAAAAACUGAAUGAACUAACUAACUAACUAAAAAAAACUACAUGAAUGUAUUUGGGCUUUGAGCAGCACAUAUAAUGGAGUUAUCAUACC